rnacentral:rRNA from 1 species
AGAAGCGCAUACGGUGGAUGCCUUGGCAGUCAGAGGCGAUGAAAGACGUGGUAGCCUGCGAAAAGCUUCGGGGAGUCGGCAAACAGACUUUGAUCCGGAGAUGUCUGAAUGGGGGAACCCAGCCAUCACAAGAUGGUUAUCUUGUACUGAAUACAUAGGUGCAAGAGGCGAACCAGGGGAACUGAAACAUCUAAGUACCCUGAGGAAAAGAAAUCAACCGAGAUUCCCUUAGUAGUGGCGAGCGAACGGGGACUAGCCCUUAAGUGGCUUUGAGAUUAGCGGAACGCUCUGGAAAGUGCGGCCAUAGUGGGUGAUAGCCCUGUACGCGAAAGUCUCUUAGUCAUGAAAUCGAGUAGGACGGAGCACGAGAAACUUUGUCUGAAUAUGGGGGGACCAUCCUCCAAGGCUAAAUACUACUGACUGACCGAUAGUGAACUAGUACCGUGAGGGAAAGGCGAAAAGAACCCCGGAGAGGGGAGUGAAAUAGAUCCUGAAACCGUAUGCGUACAAGCAGUGGGAGCAGACUUUGUUCUGUGACUGCGUACCUUUUGUAUAAUGGGUCAGCGACUUAUUUUCAGUGGCGAGCUUAACCGAAUAGGGGAGGCGUAGCGAAAGCGAGUCUUAAUAGGGCGUCUAGUCGCUGGGAAUAGACCCGAAACCGGGCGAUCUAUCCAUGGGCAGGUUGAAGGUUAGGUAACACUGACUGGAGGACCGAACCGACUACCGUUGAAAAGUUAGCGGAUGACCUGUGGAUCGGAGUGAAAGGCUAAUCAAGCUCGGAGAUAGCUGGUUCUCCUCGAAAGCUAUUUAGGUAGCGCCUCAUGUAUCACUGUAGGGGGUAGAGCACUGUUUCGGCUAGGGGGUCAUCCCGACUUACCAAACCGAUGCAAACUCCGAAUACCUACAAGUGCCGAGCAUGGGAGACACACGGCGGGUGCUAACGUCCGUCGUGAAAAGGGAAACAACCCAGACCGUCAGCUAAGGUCCCAAAGUUAUGGUUAAGUGGGAAACGAUGUGGGAAGGCUUAGACAGCUAGGAGGUUGGCUUAGAAGCAGCCACCCUUUAAAGAAAGCGUAAUAGCUCACUAGUCGAGUCGGCCUGCGCGGAAGAUGUAACGGGGCUCAAACCAUACACCGAAGCUACGGGUAUCACGCAAGUGAUGCGGUAGAGGAGCGUUCUGUAAGCCUGUGAAGGUGAGUUGAGAAGCUUGCUGGAGGUAUCAGAAGUGCGAAUGCUGACAUGAGUAACGACAAUGGGUGUGAAAAACACCCACGCCGAAAGACCAAGGUUUCCUGCGCAACGUUAAUCGACGCAGGGUUAGUCGGUCCCUAAGGCGAGGCUGAAAAGCGUAGUCGAUGGAAAACAGGUUAAUAUUCCUGUACUUCUGGUUAUUGCGAUGGAGGGACGGAGAAGGCUAGGCCAGCUUGGCGUUGGUUGUCCAAGUUUAAGGUGGUAGGCUGAAAUCUUAGGUAAAUCCGGGGUUUCAAGGCCGAGAGCUGAUGACGAGUUGCCUUUAGGCGACGAAGUGGUUGAUGCCAUGCUUCCAAGAAAAGCUUCUAAGCUUCAGAUAACUAGGAACCGUACCCCAAACCGACACAGGUGGUUGGGUAGAGAAUACCAAGGCGCUUGAGAGAACUCGGGUGAAGGAACUAGGCAAAAUGGCACCGUAACUUCGGGAGAAGGUGCGCCGGUGAGGGUGAAGCACUUGCUGCGUAAGCCCACGCCGGUCGAAGAUACCAGGCCGCUGCGACUGUUUAUUAAAAACACAGCACUCUGCAAACACGAAAGUGGACGUAUAGGGUGUGACGCCUGCCCGGUGCCGGAAGGUUAAUUGAUGGGGUUAGCUAACGCGAAGCUCUUGAUCGAAGCCCCGGUAAACGGCGGCCGUAACUAUAACGGUCCUAAGGUAGCGAAAUUCCUUGUCGGGUAAGUUCCGACCUGCACGAAUGGCGUAACGAUGGCGGCGCUGUCUCCACCCGAGACUCAGUGAAAUUGAAAUCGCUGUGAAGAUGCAGUGUAUCCGCGGCUAGACGGAAAGACCCCGUGAACCUUUACUAUAGCUUUGCACUGGACUUUGAAUUUGCUUGUGUAGGAUAGGUGGGAGGCUUUGAAGCGUGGACGCCAGUUCGCGUGGAGCCAUCCUUGAAAUACCACCCUGGCAACUUUGAGGUUCUAACUCAGGUCCGUUAUCCGGAUCGAGGACAGUGUAUGGUGGGUAGUUUGACUGGGGCGGGAACUGAAGAGUUUGAUCAUGGCUCAGAUUGAACGCUGGCGGCAGGCCUAACACAUGCAAGUCGAGCGGAUGAAGGGAGCUUGCUCCUGAAUUCAGCGGCGGACGGGUGAGUAAUGCCUAGGAAUCUGCCUGGUAGUGGGGGACAACGUUUCGAAAGGAACGCUAAUACCGCAUACGUCCUACGGGAGAAAGCAGGGGACCUUCGGGCCUUGCGCUAUCAGAUGAGCCUAGGUCGGAUUAGCUAGUUGGUGAGGUAAUGGCUCACCAAGGCGACGAUCCGUAACUGGUCUGAGAGGAUGAUCAGUCACACUGGAACUGAGACACGGUCCAGACUCCUACGGGAGGCAGCAG